rnacentral:rRNA from 1 species
GAUGAACGCUAGCGGCAGGCUUAACACAUGCAAGUCGAGGGGCAUCGGGAGGAAAGCUUGCUUUCCUUGCCGGCGACCGGCGCACGGGUGAGUAACACGUAUGCAACCUGCCCUCUUCAGGGGGACAACCUUCCGAAAGGGAGGCUAAUCCCGCGUAUAUCGGUUUCGGGCAUCCGAGAUCGAGGAAAGAUUCAUCGGAAGAGGAUGGGCAUGCGGCGCAUUAGCUAGACGGCGGGGUAACGGCCCACCGUGGCGACGAUGCGUAGGGGUUCUGAGAGGAAGGUCCCCCACAUUGGAACUGAGACACGGUCCAA